rnacentral:rRNA from 1 species
CAAUAGCGUAUAUUAAAGUUGUUGCAGUUAAAAAGCUCGUAGUUGAAUUUCUGUCAGGAGCGACCGGGCCUUUGGAUGAACUUCCAUUGUUUUUUGCUCUGUUUGUCGUCUCUAGACAUCCUGAAAUGUCUUUUUACAAAUAUUUCUCUUUUACUGUUAGCAAAAUAGAGUGUUCCAAGCAAAGCGUAGUUUUGAAUACAUUAGAAUGGAAUAAUAAGAUAGGACUUUGGUGCUAUUUUGUUGGUUUGCACACCAAGGUAAUGAUUAAUAGGGACAGUUGGGGGUAUUCGUAUUUAAUUGUCAGAGGUGAAAUUCUUGGAUUUAUGAAAGACGAACUACUGCGAAAGCAUUUACCAAGGAUGUUUUCAUUAA